UGUGAGAUUUUGCAGAGAUUACAAAUCAUAUGAUUUGUAAAAGGGUAUUCUUCCUCAUUUGUACAAUGAAAUUUCCUGUGGUUACAGGUGUCCUGCACAAAAUACAUAAAUAUUCUUAAUCAUAAAACUCCAAUACAUGGAUUUUACACUUAUUGAUCCUGACCCCUUAUCAUAUAUUUUUAUUUUAACAACUACUUUUACAGCGCAUUCAUUAUUCGACAGAGCAACAACUGAAAUAUCAAUUCAAUUGGGAACAUCUCCAAAAAAAAAAAAAAAAAAAAAAAAA